rnacentral:rRNA from 1 species
UACGGGGGGAGCAAGCGUUGUUCGGAUUUACUGGGCGUAAAGGGCGCGUAGGCGGCGUAACAAGUCACUUGUGAAAUCUCCGGGCUUAACUCGGAGCGGCCAAGUGAUACUGUUGUGCUAGAGUGCGGAAGGGGCUACUGGAAUUCUCGGUGUAGCGGUGAAAUGCGUAGAUAUCGGGAGGAACACCUGAGGCGAAGGCGGGCUACUGGGCUGAUACUGACGCUGAGACGCGAAAGCGUGGGGAGCAAACAGG